AACCUACCUACUCAGAGGGGAAGUAACCCGGCGAAAGUACGGACUAAUACCGCAUAAAACAGGGACACCGCAUGGUGAUAUUUGUUAAAGAAAUUCGCUGAUAGAUGGGCAUGCGUUCCAUUAGGUAGUUGGUGAGGUAACGGCUCACCAAGCCGACGAUGGAUAGGGGAACUGAGAGGUUGGUCCCCCACACUGGUACUGAGACACGGACCAGACUCCUACGGGAGGCAGCAGUGAGGAAUAUUGGUCAAUGGGCGAGAGCCUGAACCAGCCAAGUCGCGUGAAAAGGAAGAAGGAUCUAUGGUUCGUAAACUUCUUUUGCAGGGGAAUAAAGUGCAGGACGUGUCCUGUUUUGUAUGUACCCUGAGAAUAAGGAUCGGCUAACUCCGUGCCAGCCGCAGC
rnacentral:rRNA from 1 species